rnacentral:misc_RNA from 1 species
GAUGAAGAACGUAGCGAAAUGCGAUAAGUAAUGUGAAUUGCAGAAUUCAGUGAAUCAUCGAAUCUUUGAACGCACAUUGCGCCCCCCAGUAUUCUGGCCGGCAUGCCUGUUCGAGCGUCAUUUCAACCAUCAAGCCCUGCUUGUGUUGGGGUCCUGCGGCUGCCCGCAGGCCCUGAAAACCAGUGGCGGGCUCGCUAGUCACACCGAGCGCAGUAGCACAUCUCGCUCAGGGCGUGCGGCGGGCUCCAGCCGUUAAAGCACCCACCUUUCGCAAGGUUGACCUCGGAUCAGGUAGGAAUACCCGCUGAACUUAAGCAUAUCAAUAAGCGGAGGA